UACCGAGUUCAUGCCCUUACGGGUAGACCUCCCACCCUAUGUUAUAUUACCUUUGUUGCUUUGGCGGGCCGCCCGGCUUCGGCCAGGCUACCGGCUCCAGCUGGUAAGCGCUCGCCAGAGGACCCUCAACUCUGAAUAUCAGUGUCGUCCGAGUACUAUAAAAUAGUUAAAACUUUCAACAACGGAUCUCUUGGUUAUGGCAUCGAUGAAGAACGCAGCGAAAUGCGAUAAGUAAUGUGAAUUGCAGAAUUCAGUGAAUCAUCGAAUCUUUGAACGCACCUUGCGCCCCUUGGCUAUUCCGAAGGGCAUGCCUGUUUGAGUAUCAUGAACACCUCAACUCCCGUGGUUCGCCAUGGUGAGCUUGGACUUUGGAGGUUUUGCUGGCCCACGGUCGGCUCCUCUCAAAUGAAUUAGCCUGCCAGCGUUUGGUGGCAUCACGGGUGUGAUAAAUAUCUACGCUUGCGAUCGCCCACCAGGUAACCUUCAGCGAUGGGGGUUCGCUGGGGCUCAUAGACGUCUCUCCCUCGGCGAGGACGGUUUUUUUAACGUUCG
rnacentral:misc_RNA from 1 species